rnacentral:rRNA from 1 species
GACGAACGCUGGCGGCGUGCUUAACACAUGCAAGUCGAACGGUGAAGCGCCUUCCUUUUUGGUGGGUGUGGAUGAGUGGCGAACGGGUGAGUAACACGUGAGUAACCUGCCCCCUUCUUCUGGAUAACCACAUGAAAGUGUGGCUAAUACGGGAUAUUCUGGGUCUGUCGCAUGAUGGGUCUGGGAAAGAUAUUGUUUCGGUGGGGGAUGGGCUCGCGGCCUAUCAGCUUGUUGGUGGGGUGAUGGCCUACCAAGGCGGUGACGGGUAGCCGGCCUGAGAGGGUGGACGGUCACACUGGGACUGAGACACGGCCCAGACUCCUACGGGAGGCAGCAGUGGGGAAUAUUGCACAAUGGGCGCAAGCCUGAUGCAGCGACGCCGCGUGAGGGAUGGAGGCCUGCGGGUUGUGAACCUCUUUCGCCAGUGAAGCAGGCCUGCCUCGUUUGUGGGUGGGUUGACGGUAGCUGGAUAAGAAGCGCCGGCUAACUACGUG